rnacentral:snRNA from 1 species
GCGAACAAGUACCGCGAGG